CUCACCCGCCAGAAUCAGGCAUCCUCGCAAUCAACUGUGCCCAAGUGGAUCCCAUGGGCACCGAGAAGCCCAGCGGGCUGAUUAGCAGAUGAUUUGUUCCUCUGUGGCACCUGAAGCACCUCUCAGCCCCAUUCCACAAAUCAGAGCCUGGCUGAGGAGACUCCCAGCCAGCACCUGAAGCCACUCCUCCACAUUUCCACUGGGAAGUCUGCAGCCUAGUGACCACGGGAUAGACCAGAAAUAACUCUUCAGCCUAGAAUGGGUUUCCCCUCUGCAGACAGCACAAAGCCAAGGCACGAUGAAGUCUCCGAUGCCUCAGAACUUCUCUGUGUGAUUCAGACCAGGUGUCAAGAGGGCAGCUGAAGCAGCAUAUACAACCAGAACCAACAUAGACAGACCAUAACUUCAAGAGACCAGAGCUUCUGAGACCAAAAUGGAGGAAAGGAAAGAGCUCGUAUUCCACAAGAAACUCUCUGGAACCCCAAAGGUUCUGGGAGAGAAGAGCAGCCGCUGUCUGGGCGCCUGGGCAUAGAGGUGGGCCCUGGGCAGGUGACUACAGAGGCUUACAUCAAACCUGGGGUACAUGUGCUCCAUCUUGAAGCUUCUCCCAAAGAGGUAAGACUGAAACAGUGUGGCAGCAUGCCUGAGAUGGGGAAGAGGGGUGGACCACGAGCAAGAGGCAGCCAGUUAUGGGAAGAUGGUGCUGGGGAGCCAGGAAGCAGAGUUCUAGUUCCCACACUGCCAAUGACUGGUUGGCUUGCUCCCUCUUUGAAAUGAGGAGAUCAGAUGUGUAGACUUCAGUUCUUCUUCCCAGCAGUAGUGGAAUGCAGUGAG